GCUUAUUCACGUGCACGUUCCUGUACAUUAUCACGCUGCAGCACAGUGCAGAGAGGAGUGCUCGGGCAUUUUUGCCAGCGUAUUCGCUGGGACUUCAUUAGCCUCCAGGGAUCUGCUUGUGAGAUGAAUUUAGGUCUCUAAUAAUCUGUUCGUAGGCUGCUGCCUCACACUCCGCGUGCAUUGCCAGUGGUACGCAAAUGGCCCGGCUUGAUUUGCCAGUGUGUUUGAACAGGUCACCCCAGAGAUCCCAGCACCCCCAGAGCAGCACUUGCUGGGUGACUGGUGAGCUCUUCCCCCCGAGCACCGAGCAGAGGGCUGCUCUGAACAGCUCUGCCGAACUUUGUCCCCCCGAGAAGGGAGUUCAUCCCGGUGAGAUAAACUGCAGCCCUUUUGAUCCCUGUUCCAGGAACUGGCUGUCACAGUCCUCGCUGGACCACAUCUGCACGAGCUGUGUUUUUGUGAGGGAACCGUGCCAGGGAGCUGGUACGACACACCGGGAACCUUUCCCUGGCUGAAGACUGCGCAAAAAGUGGCUCAACAGAAUGAUUCCCAUUUCACAGCAAAACAGAGGCGGGUUGCUCAGACAGUAGCAGAGCUGGAAGAGGAUCUGGAUACUUCAGCUGAUUUCAGCCUACUUGACUACAGCUUCCUUGCCUUGUAAUAAAUAUACGAUCAGUAAAAGAUAAUUCUGUCAUGGUGCUAAAGGCAAUUAGACAUACAGGAUUCAUCAUUUAUGUUUUCAAACGUUUAAAGCUCCCUGUAGAAUGACUGCCUUCUGCCAGUCCUUCUUUACAGGGAUGAGAAAAUAGUCCCUUCCCUGAUUUCUUGCGAACCGGCGUUUCCCAGCUGUGUGUAUCAUCAGUGAAUCAAAUAAAGACAAAUCUGGCCUCUCAUUUCCAGUUAAGCCUGUCAUGUUAUAUGGCACUACAUAAUAUGUCAAGAAACCAACGCAGCUGAUCUGGUGUGUCAUUGCCGCAAAAGGAAAUGAAAACAAAUACAGAUUUAUGAAAGAAGGCCCAUUUUUGGCACCAGGCAAGGAUUUCCUGGCUGACUGCUAAUACCAAAGUGCAGAUCAUCUAUUUUAUGUUAGCAAAGGGAAAUCCCAGCAAUUCAUGCCACAGCAUUAAAACACAGGAUUCUAAAAAUAGCAUUAAAGAACUGGACUGGAAACAACAAUAAAAACGAAAAAGCAAA